rnacentral:rRNA from 1 species
GUGCCAGCAGCCGCGGUAAUACGUAGGAGGCAAGCGUUGUCCGGAGUUACUGGGCGUAAAGCGCACGCAGGCGGUCCCAUUAGUCUGUAGGGACAGGGCACGGCUCAACCGUGUCAGGCUUACGGAAACUGUGGGACUUGAGGGCUUCAGAGGGAUGGGGAAUUCCGGGUGGAGUGGUGAAAUGCGUAGAGAUCCGGAAGAACACCAAAGGCGAAGGCACCAUCCUGGGGAGUCACUGACGCUCGGGUGCGAAAGCUAGGGGAGCGAACGGGAUUAGAUACCCCCGUAGUCC